rnacentral:rRNA from 1 species
AACGAACGCUGGCGGCAUGCCUAACACAUGCAAGUCGAACGAGACCUUCGGGUCUAGUGGCGCACGGGCGCGUAACGCGUGGGAACCUGCCCUUAGGUUCGGAAUAACUCCCCGAAAGGGGUGCUAAUACCGGAUAAUGUCUUCGGACCAAAGAUUUAUCGCCUUUGGAUGGGCCCGCGUUGGAUUAGCUAGUUGGUAGGGUAAAAGCCUACCAAGGCGACGAUCCAUAGCUGGUCUGAGAGGAUGAUCAGCCACACUGGGACUGAGACACGGCCCAGACUCCUACGGGAGGCAGCAGUGGGGAAUAUUGGACAAUGGGCGAAAGCCUGAUCCAGCAAUGCCGCGUGAGUGAUGAAGGCCUUAGGGUUGUAAAGCUCUUUUACCCGGGAUGAUAAUGACAGUACCGGGAGAAUAAGCUCCGGCCAACUCCGU